GGCAAGGGGACGAGGUGGCGAGGGGACGGUGGGCCCUGGGCUGGGCCGAGCCAGGCGGGGCUGGCUGGGCUUGCGGGCAGAGAGCUCUGAGCGUGGGGAGGCUAGAGCCCGUACUCCGCAAGCAGAGGGUUGGGAGGAUCAGCCGUGGCCGAGGGACCUGCCCCCGCCCCCGGACGAGAGGGGUCGGGGUGGAGGCCGGAGGGGGCAAAACCAGGGAGGCCGGAAGCAGAGGUGGGGGUCUGCAGAAGGACAGCCCUGUAUUGAGCUGAGAUGGCUCGAGCCUAACAUUCCACGAUCCAGGAUUGUGACAGAUGUGCACAGGCUGCUGCUGUUGCUGCUGUGGGUAAUUUGGAACCACGAGGCACCCCAGGGCCAGAAGACUGUCUGCCUGGAUGUGUGGGAACUCUCUGCCAACUUGAUUGGUGGAUCUGGGGGGGGAUCCACCCCCACCCCACGAGGAAAGCACAGUUUAUUUUGUGGGUGGGGCUUCAGGUGCCAGCCAGCUGAAGGAUGGCCACCCCUGUGGUCACCAAGACAGCCUGGAAGUUGCAAGAGAUCGUCGCGCAUGCCAGCAAUGUGUCCUCACUGGUGCUGGGCAAAGCCUCCGGGCGGCUGCUGGCUACAGGCGGGGAUGACUGCCGCGUCAACCUGUGGUCCAUCAACAAGCCCAACUGCAUCAUGAGCCUGACGGGCCACACAUCCCCAGUGGAGAGCGUCCGCCUCAACACCCCCGAGGAGCUCAUCGUGGCCGGCUCUCAGUCGGGCUCCAUCCGUGUCUGGGACCUGGAAGCUGCCAAAAUUCUUCGCACACUCAUGGGACACAAAGCCAACAUCUGCAGCCUGGAUUUCCACCCGUACGGCGAGUUUGUAGCCUCUGGUUCCCAGGACACAAACAUCAAGCUCUGGGACAUCAGGAGGAAAGGCUGUGUCUUCCGAUACAGGGGGCACAGCCAGGCCGUGCGGUGUCUCCGGUUCAGCCCCGAUGGGAAGUGGUUGGCGUCAGCCGCAGAUGACCACACCGUGAAGCUCUGGGAUCUCACUGCCGGCAAGAUGAUGUCUGAGUUCCCUGGUCACACGGGGCCUGUCAACGUGGUCGAGUUUCACCCCAACGAGUACCUCCUGGCCUCCGGCAGCUCUGACAGGUGAGGAGGAGGAGCGAGGCGAGUUGCUUGUGACUGCUGUCCUUCACCACCUUGUCCUCUGUGCGUGUCUCUACUGCCGGUCUGUCGCUGUCUGGGGUGUCAUACGUCUGAUGAUCCUGUGUGGACUGAAUUGGAUUUCAGCCGAGCCAGGACUGGACCCUGGUCCAUCUCCCCUGGCUCUGGUUCCCUGGCCCCAGUGUCCCAGGUCUGUGGCUUCAUGGGCAGGUUGGGACCCAAGGCAUCUAGUGAGACCCCAUAGGGCAGGGAGGCUCGUGGCUGUUGGGGCCAACCCUGGGGCCAGGGCCAUCGGGCCGAGCCUCCCCCUUGCAAAGUCAGGGCCAGCUCUGCCCCAGAUGUUGCUCCUGGUGGCCCUGCCCUGGGGGAGAGGUUUCUAGAGAGAAGCUGGCUUCCCAGGGACAUGUGGAGGCCAGGAUGAGGGAUAGGCUUCGCAGCACAGCCUGGCUGCCUUUGCAGGACAAUCCGCUUCUGGGACCUGGAGAAGUUCCAGGUGGUGAGCUGCAUCGAAGGGGAGCCUGGGCCCGUCAGGUACGCAGGCUGUGGGGUGGGCGGCCCAGCGCUCCUCCCGGCAGUGGGGCGUGGCUGUGGGUGGGCCUUUCCCAUCUCCGCUGCUGCGCCCUCCCUGCCCUGGGCCCUCUGGAUUCCUCGGGGUGGGGACCAGGCUGGGUGCCACAGGACCCACGGCCAUCUCUCGCCUGGCCCAGGAGCGUCCUCUUCAACCCAGACGGCUGCUGCCUGUACAGCGGCUGCCAGGACUCACUGCGUGUCUACGGCUGGGAACCUGAGCGGUGCUUUGACGUGGUCCUCGUUAACUGGGGCAAGGUGGCCGACCUGGCCAUCUGCAAUGACCAGUUGGUGAGAGAGCCAUGGCACCCACCGCCCCCCACUCCCACAGGGCCACCCGCCUCCCUCCAGCCCAGGCCCCUCCUCCUACCCCCACACUGGGGCUGGGAUUUUGCCCCCUCGGCUUGCCGUCCCAGCCCCACCUCUCCGCUUUCUGCAGAUAGGUGUGGCCUUCUCCCAGAGCAACGUCUCCUCCUACGUGGUGGAUCUGACGCGUGUCACCAGGACUGGCACGGUGGCCCGGGACCCUGUGCAGGACCACCGGCCCCUGGCACAGCCACUGCCCAACCCCAGCGCCCCCCUCCGGCGCAUCUAUGAGCGGCCCAGCACAACCUGCAGCAAGCCUCAGAGGGUGAAGCAGAACUCAGAGAGCGAGCGCCGCAGCCCCAGCAGCGAGGAUGACCGGGACGAGCGCGAGUCCCGCGCGGAGAUCCAGAACGCCGAGGACUACAACGAGAUCUUCCAGCCCAAGAACAGCAUCAGUCGGACGCCACCCCGGAGAAGUGAGCCCUUCCCUGCACCCCCAGAGGACGACGCAGCCACAGCAAAGGAGGCAGCAAAGCCCAGCCCUGCCAUGGAUGUGCAGUUCCCGGUGCCAAAUCUGGAGGUCCUGCCCCGGCCCCCAGUGGUUGCUUCCACACCUGCACCCAAGGCUGAGCCUGCCAUCAUCCCUGCCACCCGGAAUGAGCCCAUCGGGCUGAAGGCCUCUGACUUCCUGCCCGCCGUGAAGAUCCCCCAGCAGGCCGAGCUGGUGGACGAGGAUGCCAUGUCACAGAUCCGCAAAGGCCACGACACCAUGUGUGUGGUGCUCACCAGCCGCCACAAGAACCUGGACACCGUGCGGGCUGUGUGGACCACGGGCGACAUCAAGACGUCGGUGGACUCCGCUGUGGCCAUCAACGACCUGUCGGUGGUGGUGGACCUCCUGAACAUCGUCAACCAGAAAGCGUAAGUGGCUGCAGCGGGGGAGUGGGCGGAGGGGCAGGGCUGGGCUGAUGGCAGCAUGUCCUGGCCUCUCCUAGCUCCCUAUGGAAGCUGGACCUGUGCACCACGGUCCUGCCGCAGAUUGAGAAGCUUCUGCAGAGCAAGUAUGAGAGGUGCGUGUGGGGAAGCCAUGCCUGCCUGAAGCAGGGGGAGGGGAGAGGUAAGAAGCCUCCUCCAGAACCAUGGGAAGGACCCCCAAGAGCCUGGGUGUUCCUGUGAGCUGGCUGUGAAGCAUUGCUGCCCCUCAACAGUCCGGAGGUGGGAGUGGAAACAGGCGUGUGUGGGUGUAUGUGUGUGUGUGUCUAUGUCUGUUUCUGCCCCUCUCCUCCUUUGUUCCUUGCUGUUUCUCUUUCUGUCUGUGGCCCUUGGUCCAUCUGUGACUUCAUCCAUCUCCCCCUAAAGCUACGUCCAGACAGGCUGCACCUCCCUGAAGCUGAUCCUGCAGCGGUUUCUGCCCCUCAUCACAGACAUGCUGGCGGCCCCACCCUCUGUGGGUGUGGAUAUCAGCAGGGAGGAGAGGUGAGGGCAGCGCAUGUGUUGGGGGCAGGGGUGCCACAACAGGUGAGGGGACAAAGGCCUGGAGGCCUGGGCCCCUCUUACUGACAGUCCUGCUGGGACAGAGUACAGAGGAGGCGUUGGUCUGGGGCCAUGGCUCAGGGUGUGGGUGGGCUUAGCCAGAGCUGGGUUCCUCCAUGGCCUGGCUGUGCCCACAAUCCCUGGCAGGGCCUGGGUGGUUCCCCUCUGGGCCUCCGCCUUCCCUUGGGAGGAAGGGCUGGAGCAGUUAGGACAGCAAAGGCCCUGGGGUUGCGGGGGGGUGGUGGUGGUGCCAGCUGGCCCCUCAGGCACUGCCCUCUCUACAGGCUGCAUAAGUGCCGGCUCUGCUACAAGCAGCUUAAGAGCAUCAGCGGCCUGGUCAAGAGCAAGUCAGGCCU
rnacentral:sRNA from 1 species